CCACAACCCGGUAGAUAGGGGAGGUUGACGUGGGGCGACCGGUGCGAAUGGACGCGGGAGGGAUGUUCGCUGCUGGGGGAGAAGCGAAUGGGGAAUGACGGGACGUUCUGGAUUAAGGAACUGCUAUCUUAAUCGUGACACUUGUAAAUAUGUUAAUUUGUUAAUUUGAUGUUAAUGCUUAAAUGCCUUGAAUAUGAAUACACAAUACAUGUUAGCUGCUGCCACUCACUCAGCUAUGAUUUUGGGGGUCGCGGCGGAGAGGAGAAUCCCAUGUAUACUCUUAGACACCUUAUCUGGGCGGAGCUCGAGUCGCGUUCCCUAACACAUACACUCGCGCUAAGAGGUCUGUGGCCAGGCUACGGGGUGUCUCGUCUCUUGGGCUGGUACCAGAGUGGGCGCCUGUUAGCGCUGGUCACUGCGCGAGACCUCCCCCUACUCUGUAGAGGGAUUGCGGAUCUGGGACAUUACCGGAUUCCGAGGGGAUACCUACACUGAAGGGUAAACACCUCCUUUUCGAUCUUAAAUCUCACACAACACAUUCAGCUCCAUACUCGGG